rnacentral:rRNA from 1 species
UUGGUGGGGUAAUGGCCUACCAAGGCGACGACGGGUAGCCGGCCUGAGAGGGUGACCGGCCACACUGGGACUGAGACACGGCCCAGACUCCUACGGGAGGCAGCAGUGGGGAAUAUUGCACAAUGGGCGAAAGCCUGAUGCAGCGACGCCGCGUGAGGGAUGACGGCCUUCGGGUUGUAAACCUCUUUCAGUAGGGAAGAAGCGUAAGUGACGGUACCUGCAGAAGAAGCGCCGGCUAACUACGUGCCAGCAGCCGCGGUAAUACGUAGGGCGCAAGCGUUAUCCGGAAUUAUUGGGCGUAAAGAGCUCGUAGGCGGUUUGUCGCGUCUGCUGUGAAAGACCGGGGCUCAACUCCGGUUCUGCAGUGGGUACGGGCAGACUAGAGUGAUGUAGGGGAGACUGGAAUUCCUGGUGUAGCGGUGAAAUGCGCAGAUAUCAGGAGGAACACCGAUGGCGAAGGCAGGUCUCUGGGCAUUAACUGACGCUGAGGAGCGAAAGCAUGGGGAGCGAACAGGAUUAGAUACCCUGGUAGUCCACGCCGUAAACGGUGGGUACUAGGUGUGGGUUUCCUUCCUUGGGAUCCGUGCCGUAGCUAACGCAUUAAGUACCCCGCCUGGGGAGUACGG